GCGGGUGUAACUCAGCCUGGUUAGAUUGCCACGCUCAUAAACGCUAUUGAGCGAUGAGCCUUCGGGCAAUGAAUUGGGAUACGUGGAAGUCGCGAGUUCAAAAGAAGGGCUUGUAUCUUCUGAAAUUCUCGCCACCCGCA
rnacentral:tRNA from 1 species